rnacentral:tRNA from 1 species
GCCACUGUGGUGGAAUGGCAGACACCGCUGUCUCAAAAGCAGCUACCCAAUUCGGGUGUGGGAGUUCGAAUCUCCCCAGUGGCA